AUGGCGGGUGAAAAGGUUGAGAAGCCAGAUACUAAAGAGAAAAAACUCAGAGCCAAGAAGGCUGAUGCUGGUGGCAAGGUGAAAAAGGAUAACCUCAAGGCUAAAAAACCUCAGAAAAGAAAGCCCCAUUGCAGCCGCAAUCCUGUCCUUGUCAGAGGAAUUGGCAGGUAUUCCGGAUCUGCUAUGUAUUCCAGAAAGGCCAUGUAAAGAGGAAGAACUCAACCACAAAUCCAAGGUUAAAAAGAAAAAGAAGGAGAAGUUUCUUGAAACUGUUACAAACCAGUUGGUGGUGAAAAGAACUGCAGUACCCGGGUGGUUAAACUUCACAAAAUGCCUAGAUAUUAUCCUAUUGAAGAUGUGUCUGGAAAGCUGUUGAGCCACGGCAAAAAACCCUCCUGUCAGCACGUAGAAAACUGCGAGCCAGCAUCACCCCAGGGACCAUUCUGAUCAUCCUCACUGGAUGCCACAGGGGCAAAGAGGGUGGUUUUCCUGAAGCAGCUGGCUAGUGGCUUGUUACUUGUGACUGGACCUCUGGUCCUCAACGAGUUCCUCUACGAAAAACACACCAGAAAUUUGUCAUUGCCACCUCAACCAAAAUUGAUAUCAGCAAUGUAAAAAUCCCAAAACAUCUUACUAAUGCUUACUUCAAGAAGAAGCUGCAGAAGCCCAGACACCAGGAAGGUGAGAUCUUUGACACAGAAAAAGAGAAAUAUGAGAUUAUAGAGCAUCACAAGAUUGAUCAGAAAGCUGUGGACUCACAAAUUUUACCAAAAAUCAAAGCUAUUCCUCAGCUCCGGGGCUGUCUGCGAUCUGUGCUUGCCCUGACGAAUGGAAUUUAUCCUCAUAAAUUGGUGUUCUAA
rnacentral:lncRNA from 1 species